CGAGCGGGUCGAAAAUGUAGGAACAAAAUAAUGUGCUAAGCUAGAAAUAUAGUUAUAAAUUACUUGAAAAUUAUAUAACCGCUGAAGCGAUUUUCAUUUCACUCAAAGCAGCCCCCGAACAACUGCUGGAUAUUUCUAAGGAGCUUUGAUUUUCAUGUCGGAAAUAAACUCGGACAGAUUGACAUUCCCUUUUGAGCGGUGACAAAUAAUUGAAAAAUUUACUUUUCUUUCUUAAUUUCUUUUUCUAUACAAAAUUCAAAGAGUAUUCAAUUAAAAAAGCGGUAACAAAUUUUCCGAAGUCUUUAAUAUUUAGGCUGAAGCCAGAUAAAUAUGUCAUCGCUGGAGCAUAACUCUAUGUUUUGAAAGAUUUUAGUGUUUUUUGCUCUUUAAUUCACUACGCGGAGAUGUUUAAGAGAUUUUCAAAAUAAAAGGAAUACAUACAAAUGGAAUUAUUAUAAAAAAUAUUUAACGAGUGUUGUGGAAAACAAUGUAAAAGAUCCUUGGUCCUGAUGACUGAUUGUCGGUGCCCAUGUGACAGUGGAACUUGUGCCCGAUGUGACGGCAGCUGAAGAGGCACUAGCG